UAUUAUACUCCCCAUGCUAUACUUUGUGGUAAGCAGCACCAGACACAACUGGAUUCUUUAGCAACAAAGAUGACUCUGUGAAAUACUUCCCUGGUCAUUUUGCCAGUAACCAUGAAACCCCAGCAAAACAUCAGAAGUUCAGCCAACCCAAAACUGCAAAACUGACUACACUAAAAAUUAACUCAACAGGUCCUUCCAUUGAUUUUGAAGGUUUUAAAUUCUCCACCCAAUAGCUUAAAUUCUCCACCCACCAAACAGCCUGAAUCUACAUGAACACAUGUGAAAGGAAAUGCUCUCUAUGCCCACAGGGAA